UCUGCGGGCGCCGCGGGCCCGGGCCAUGGCGAUAGACCGGCGGCGCGAGGCGGCGGGCGGCGGGCCCGGGCGGCAGCCGCCCGUGGCCGAGGAGAACGGCUCCCUGCCGCCCGGGGACGCGGCGGCCUCGGUGCCCCUCGGGGGACGCGCGGGCUCAAGCAGCGGCGGGGAGAUCCAGCCGCUGCCCGCCCCGCAUCCCGCCGGCGGCGGCCCGCAUUCGAGCUGCUGCUCGGCGGCGUCGGCCCCGAGCCUCCUGUUGCUGGACUACGACGGGUCGGUGCUGCCCUUCCUGGGGGGCCUGGGCGGGGGCUAUCAGAGGACCCUCGUGCUGCUCACCUGGAUCCCGGCGCUGUUCAUCGGCUUCAGCCAGUUCUCAGACUCCUUCCUCUUGGACCAGCCGGACUUCUGGUGCCGCGAGGCCGGCAAAGGCGCCGAGCUGGCGGGGGUCACGGCCACCGGCAGAUGGGGAGCCGGCGAUGUGGCCAACUGGACCAGCCUCCCGAUCACCCCUUUCUCCACUGCCCCCUGGGCGACCGCGGGCAACCUUAGUAACACCAGCGGCGAGGACACGGGCGACACGCCACCCUUGCAGUCCCCUCCGGAGAAGGGGGAAAACGCCUCCAACUGCAACUGCCACGAAUGGGACUAUGGCAUCCGCACAGGCCUCGUCCAAAACGUGGUCAGCAAGUGGGAUCUUGUGUGUGAUAAUGCCUGGAAGGUCCAUAUCGCUAAGUUCUCCUUACUGGUUGGAUUAAUCUUUGGCUACCUAAUAACUGGAUGCAUUGCUGACUGGGUCGGCCGGCGGCCUGUGCUGCUGUGUUCCAUCAUCUUCAUUCUGAUCUUCGGACUGACCGUGGCACUGUCAGUGAAUGUGACAAUGUUCAGCACACUCAGGUUCUUCGAAGGAUUUUGCCUGGCUGGAAUAAUUCUCACCUUGUAUGCAUUACGAAUAGAGCUGUGCCCCCCUGGAAAACGGUUCAUGAUCACGAUGGUGGCGAGCUUCGUGGCCAUGGCGGGGCAGUUCCUCAUGCCCGGGCUGGCCGCCCUGUGCCGGGACUGGCAGGUCCUGCAGGCCCUCAUCAUCUGCCCCUUCCUGCUCAUGCUGCUCUAUUGGUCGGUAUUCCCCGAGUCCCUCCGGUGGCUGAUGGCUACCCAGCAGUUUGAGUCUGCAAAGAAGCUGAUCCUUCACUUCACACAGAAGAACUGCAUGAACCCUGAAAGUGACAUCAAAGGCGUGAUGCCGGAGCUGGAGAAGGAGCUUUCCCGGAGACCCAAGAAGGUCUGUAUCGUGAAGGUGGUGGGAACCAGGAACCUAUGGAAGAACAUCGUGGUCCUGUGUGUGAACUCGCUGACAGGGUACGGGAUCCACCAUUGCUUCGCCAGGAGCAUGAUGGGCCACGAGGUUAAGGUGCCGCUGCUGGAGAACUUCUAUGCUGACUAUUAUACCAUGGCCAGCAUUGCCCUGGCAUCCUGCCUGGCCAUGUGCGUGGUGGUCAGAUUCCUGGGGCGCCGGGGAGGGCUGCUCUUCUUCAUGAUCCUCACUGCCCUGGCCUCGCUCCUGCAGCUCGGGCUCCUCAACCUGAUUGGAAAAUACAGCCAGCAACCAGGCUCAGAGUUGCAGAUGAAGUUGGCCGUAGGUAUGAGUGACAGUGUCAAGGACAAAUUCUCCAUCACGUUUUCCAUCGUGGGCAUGUUUGCCUCCCAUGCGGUGGGAAGCCUCAGUGUGUUCUUCUGUGCAGAGAUCACCCCCACGGUGAUAAGGUGCGGCGGGCUGGGGCUGGUGCUGGCCAGCGCGGGCUUCGGCAUGCUGACGGCACCCAUCAUCGAGCUACACAAUCAGAAAGGCUACUUCCUGCACCAUAUCAUCUUCGCCUGCUGCACGCUCAUCUGCAUCAUCUGCAUCCUCCUGCUGCCUGAGAGCCGGAACCAGAGCCUGCCCGAGAACAUCUCCAACGGGGAGCACUACACGCGGCAGCCGCUCCUGCCGCACAAGAAGGGGGAGCAGCCCCUCCUGCUCACCAACGCUGAGCUCAAGGACUACUCCGGCCUCCACGACGUGGCCGCUGCCUCCGCUGCGGGGGACGGGCUGCCUGACAAUGCCACGGCCAACGGCAUGAAGUCCUGUAGCUCUGGGCACGGCCUGCCCUGACGGGGGCGCUGUAGGGUCCCAGGUUCAGGGGCUGUUUGGGCACAGGCUUACUUACAGACAGGGACCUGCACGUGGCCAGGGCAGGAAAACCCAACUCUGACGCCACCGAAUCAUGAGACUUUCAACUGGUGUGGGGAAAUUCUGUCUUUCCAAAACUCUAAGGAUCGUGUGUUUGAGGAAGCAAACUCUUUGGAAAUAACCCUUCAAAAACUUUCUUUUCUGCCAUUAAAUGUUUGUAUUUAUUUUGGUCAUUUUUACGAGAAGCACUUUAUUCCCUUUCCUCUCACUGAUCUUGAAAUGGAAGCACCUCCUUUGGAAGAGGGACCCAAUUGCCCGAGGAAGACGCUGUAAGUAACCGAGCACAUCGGCCAGUCUCCUCCCUGCAGGUCAGCCGGCCACUCUCACCCAGUCCCUCAGAGCAACCAGAUGUCACCUCUGCCGGCCAGAGCCGCGUCCCAAGGCUGCCUGCCUGUGUACAGAGACCCAGCCCAUCAUGGAGCACUUCCAUGGCUGCAGUUUAGAGUGAAAUGUAAAUGAUUAGGUUUUUGCUAGAGUCUGUGUAUGGUUUGUAAAGGUUUUUCUCUAUUUGUAAGGUCAGAGCUUCUGUUCCAUGUGUUGGGGGAAAGCUGCUUACCAGUAUCAUUAAAACCAGCUUAGUCUUUCCUUCGAGACCAUCCUUCUAAACUUGAUGCUGGAAGCUCCUUAGGAUAAAGCUUAACCAUUUCAGCCCAAAUCUUAAACAAUUAGUGGUAAUGUCACCAGUCUUCUGACACAAGUUUGCCUAGUUAAGAUCACAACUAGCCAAUGUGUUGAGGACUGAGACAUGUUAACAUUAUUAAUAUUCCUUCCCAAAUUUAGCUCCAGCAGAAAAGUUCCCUCUUCCACAGUAAACAUGGCUACUUUCUGGACUGAAAACAAUAGGAAAGAACUGAAAUAAACGACUAAGACAAACCCGCAGAAGGGAGGGUGCUCUCUCAAAUAUGGCCCGUCACCCACAUCUCGAGCACACACCAUGUAGAAAUCACCAGCUUGGAUGACUGUCAGCUCUCACUGACUUCACACUGAGAGACUGCAAAGCCUGUGGGAGACAGUCCCCCUCAUGUCUGCCUCUGCCUACUUCCUGCCACUUUUGUCAGUACAGAGGUGGGGCUUAGGGCAAGGAGUGGGGUUCUCACUGGUUAGUCCAACUGACCUCCAGUCUCUUAAAGCAUCAAGAGCAAUUGAGAGAAAGCAAUAACUCACCAAAGUUUAACUCGUACCCCCAUCCCCAGUAUCCAAGGGUUUUCCAUUGUGUUCUUCAUUUUGUUCCAGACAAUGAAGGCUUCCACUUGCCUUUUCACAUCAGGUUUUCUCCACCUGUCUGAGGCGUGUUUCAGAGGAAACUCGGAGGGCCUCCUCAAGGACUCCCAGGGAACCACUAAGAAACAAGCUUCACUGGCACAGGCAGGCGCCACCUUGUAGCAACACAGGCACCUGAUAUUUUGGACAGCCUAGGUCCCUUCUAGAAUUGUCCACCUCCCUACUUUGUGACAUGUUGUCUUUGUCAUGGGCUCUGUUCUUCCAGGGGAAUCGUAGUCUUGGGUCUGUGUGACCCCCAGCUGAUGGUUACUAGAACUCAAAGGGCCUAAAAAGAGGUUAACUCAAGUUCCCUUUCUCCCCUUCCAGCUUUCUACUUGUUCUGCUUCUUACUGUCCCCACCCACCACUCUCCUCCAAAUCUGGUAGAAAUCAACAGGAGCCUGCUGACUUGAUAACAACACUGGGAGGAGGCGAACACGCUAGCAGGCAUGUGUGAUUCCAGUGAGUAAACCACACGUUCUCUGUCUCAUCAGUGGGGCCUGGGGUGUCCAAACUCGUCCAAGGGCCAGCUGCCCAGGAAGGCAAGCCCUCUGGCCAGUGUCCCCAGCUCCACCUGCUCCAAGCCCAGCUCAUCUUGCCUUCCCUCAUCUCUUUUAAGUCACUUUUGUUCCAUGUUUCAACGUUAGUCACAUUCACCUUACUUUAAAAAGGCCUUUACAAAUGUGCAGCCUUCGCGUGCCAAACUUGUGAAAUACCCUUUGCCUUCUUUAGAGUACUUGGCAGAAAGCCACCUGGUAGCAAGACCAUUAAGUCCAAGACACGACAUAUGCAGCGGCCAAGCCAUUGGGCAGUUGGGGAAGGUGGGAAGGAGCCAGUGAGGUCCUGGGCCUGCACCUACCAGGUAUACAUCUGCAUCCAUCACCCCAGCACUAGGACAUCUUGCAGUCCCUUUACUGUACAACAGAAGGACUUGUGAGACCUUCUUUAAGAAACACUGAAGCUAUAGAGUGCUGACGGUUAUGCCUAGGAAGGCGGAGGCGAGGAACAGCACAUACAAACUCCACGGUCUCUAAUCUCCAUCUUAAAUGACAAUAAAAAUACUGGUCCAGCGGAGACAGCACUGUCACUUCAGCAAUCAGAACUAACUCAUGGAUGACUAGAAGAGAAGCUAGCUGUGAGGACUGGGUUCUUGGGACGUGGACGUGAAUGAGGUCUUAGUUCCGGGGAAACACCGUAGGUGACAUCUCUGGGCAAAGAGGUCUCAUCGCUCUUCUCUCCCGGCAGCUUCAGGAUUAGGCUGAGCUCCUGUUCUGUUGCUAGUUCAGCUUAAGGAUAUCUGAAGUUCUUGAGGAACACCUUUAUGAAAUGUAGCCAAAGCAGAAAAGCUUCCCUGUGGGCUGAGCCCCAUGGAAUCCCACACCACGUGGGCAAGGCAGCAGGGGCCCACCGGAGCAUGACACAUGUUCGGUCCUGCCUUGCUCUGCGUGGGAAGGGUCCGCGGCCACCAGCGACCUAGCACCCGCUGCUCGUGCUUGGACUCCUCAGUCCCGUUUCCUUCAUGGUCAGUAGGGAAACACUUCUCAGGCACCUGCCGUUUCAGGUCUGCCCUGCCUGCCGCGUCCAUCCCCGCUGCCGGGGAACAGUCCCGGGUAUGUGCUGCUGCUACUGUCCUCCACCAGCCACUCCUGCAUCCUGCUGUCUCAUCAGGGAUCUGUGAUCCCUUUUCAAUAAAAGUUACGCACAAAUGUGAACACCUGAGGUGAACCCAGGGCUGGAGAGCUCAUUUGUUCUUUUCCAGAAGUCAGUAAUAACUCUUAUCAAAUACCCUAAAUACUAGCACCCAAGACAAAUAAGAAAAAGUUUGAAAUGUUUUGUUUUCUAAAGGAGUAUAAUCACAUGCAACUAGAGGAAAGGGGCUGGUAAGUUGUUUUGGCCACAACAGAAAGCAAAAAUAAACCUUGUAAAGGAAGUAUUGCACUCAAACAUUACCACUUCCUAGAGCCAAACAAGAAAUGACUGACGUGCCAUUAAAUGAAUUGUGACCAUCACAUCGCCAGCCCCUAGGUGGCGCACGUGCUGGGGCCGGCCCACACUUCAACCCUUUCCUUUAAAGGACACCUCACUUUAACGUAUUGUUUUGGAAGAGCAGCACAGUGUGUUAUGUCUAGUGGGAAUACUUACCUCUGUCUGUCUCUCUACAACCCCAACAUUUGAGGUGUCUAGUAAGAACCGUGUUACUAUACAUGUCACCCGGGAUCGCUCUGGAGGUGCUCUUUCAUAGCACAAGCCUAAAUAGAGUUCUGAACUGUCGUUCAAAGCUAAAUGUCUGCAUGAUGUCGCACCUGUUAUACCUUUGGGGAAAAUUUGUAUGUAAAUGUACAGAAAUAAAAAUGUUGCCCCGUUAACAAAUUUCCUCUGCAAUGUCUUCCCUACCUCAUCUGAUGGUAUCCAGUGAAGGGCAUUUCACGACCAUUGACGACAAGUAAUAAAAACUGUUUAUUCAGCUCUUGCUGCGUCCCUACUUUGGCGCCUCUGUAAACCGAGUCUCCGCUCUGCCUGGGAACGGUGGGUGGUCUCUCAUCUGCUUGCACAGUCCCAGUCUCAAAGGCAGGCAGAGGCAGAGACAGGAUUAAACAUACUGUUUACUUAGUGCCCAUCUCAGACCCCUGAGAAAGGGCCACCAGUAAGUUUAAGAGUGCUUUUCUCUUGUAUGUUGAUGUCCUGCUAAUCCACGGCCUGCAAGUUCCUCGAGAGGCCAAGAAAUGACUACCUUACACUGUGACUCUGUGAGGAGAGACUGGUAACCCAAAACGCUCUUCUUUAAUGUAGUAUUUUUUAACAAGAAAAUAAUGUUUCUCUAAUAAAGUAUUUAUACCAAACUCUUCUCUCCAUAGCCCUGAUUUUGUGUUACUUACUUUUCCUAGAGAGGUGUCCACUGUGCUUCCAAGCUACGAUAAUGCUGGCUGAAGCCUCAGAGGUUAGCCCAGGACGUCUGCUAAAGAGGGAAGCAUCUUAAACCCCAGACGUACUCCUCUCAAGUGCCUUCAUGUCCCGGCCAAAGUGUCACCACCAGUGGCUGCUUACCACUGGCUCAGUGCGAGCCCUUUGCCACUGCAUGAAGAGUGUUAGAGAGCCCGAAACCUCUUCUAGUAACAAGAGAGGUCCAGCUGGACCCCGAAGAUGAGAAAGUUCUUUUCUGGUGGUCCCCAACUUGCCCGUGCUGGGAAGCACCUAGGAGGCUAUUCAACCUGGCCAAAGCCUGGGCCCCAGGUCAUCUGAAUCUCUGGGGAAGGGUCAGGCAUAGGCAACCCGUGAAAACUCCCCCCAGAGAUCCUAAUGUGAAAUCAGGAUCAGGAGCCACUGACCCAUAAAAUAUUGGCUUUUGGGGAAAGAUGUGAAAACAAAAUGUGUAGCAUGUGGCACUACACAUUUUGGAAUCCAUUUCAAGGGGCAGGCAAAAAAAAAGGCUAAGGAUUAAAGAUGGCCAAAGCAGGUACCUGGAACUUGAGAAAAAAAGAGAAGGGAGAAGGAAAGACAGUGAUAACAGGCAGAAUAAGCAUUUGGAUCCACAAAAAUGAAGCAGGUGAAACUAUAAUUAACAUCUUAAUUGCCAUGGCACUUAAAGUUUGCCAAGUAUAUCGGUGUAUUGCAUCCCAACAAUAACCCCGCAGAGUGAAGAUUACUCAGGGCCCAGCAUAAUGAGAGACCACCAAGUCCACACAUCUUGUGAGCAGCGAGGAGCACGUGGCUGGGCCUACGGGAGAGCAGAGCAGGAAGAGAUGUGCUGGGGAAGGACAGCGCUGGAACUGGAAGGAAAGGAGAUAACCUGAAGCAUAUUUUAUAAAGACUUAUUACUUCAAUUCUAAUUGGAAAUGGACAUAACAGAAUCAUGACGAAUUUACCCUUCAAUCUAAUCAGCCCCCUUCAAUCCCA